rnacentral:rRNA from 1 species
GACGAACGCUGGCGGCGUGCUUAACACAUGCAAGUCGAACGGGCCUGUCUUCUUUUUUGGGGGUGGGUUGAGUGGCGAACGGGUGAGUAUCACGUGAGUAACCUGCCCUUCGGUCCUGGAUAACCGCUUGAAAGGGCGGCUAAUACGGGGUGGUCCGGUUGGUCCGCAUGGGCUGGUCGGGAUAGAUUCACUGUUUUUGGUGUUUCGGCGGAGGAUGGGCUCGCGGCCUAUCAGCUUGUUGGUGGGGUGAUGGCCUACCAAGGCGGUGACGGGGAGCCGGCCGGAGGGGGUGGGCGGCCAGACUGGGACUGAGGUACAGCCCAGUCUGCGGCGGGGGGCAGGAGUGGGGGGGAUUGCACACGGGGGGGAGGCCUGAUGAAGCGACGUCGGGUGAGGGAGGGAGGCCUUCGGGUUGUGAACCUCUGUGGCCGGUGGUGAAGGCCCUGUCCGUGUGGUGGGGUUGACGGUAGCCGGGGAUGAAGCGCCGGCUAACUACGUG